rnacentral:rRNA from 1 species
AGAGAGUGCAAGCGUUAAUCAGAAUUACUGGGCGUAAAGCGCACGUAGGUGGGUGUUUUAGUCGAGUGUGAAAGCCCCGGGCUUAACCUGGGAAUUGCAUUCGAUACUGAACACCUAGAGUAUGGUAGAGGGAAGUGGAAUUUCCGGUGUAGCGGUGAAAUGCGUAGAUAUCGGAAGGAACACCAGUGGCGAAGGCGGCUUCCUGGACCAAUACUGACACUGAGGUGCGAAAGCGUGGGGAGCAAACAGGGAUUAGAGACCCUGGUAGUCCACGCCGUCAACGAUGAGAACUAGACGUUGGGAAGAUUUAUCUUCUUAGUGCCGUAGCUAACGCGUUAAGUUCUCCGCCUGGGGAGUACGACCCGCAAGGUUA